UUAUCACAGUGACUCCUUGUGAUGUCUGAGC
rnacentral:piRNA from 1 species